rfam:Ovis aries breed Texel chromosome 10, whole genome shotgun sequence.
UCCCUGGUGGUCCAGUGGUUAAGAAUCCACCUUGCAAUGGAGGAGACAUGGGUUCAAUCCCUGUUCAGGGAA